GAUGAAGAACGUAGCGAAAUGCGAUACGUAAUGUGAAUUGCAGAAUUCAGUGAAUCAUCGAGUCUUUGAACGCACAUUGCGCCCCCUGGUAUUCCGGGGGGCAUGCCUGUCCGAGCGUCAUUGCUGCCCUCAAGCACGGCUUGUGUGUUGGGCCUCCGUCCUCCUCCCGGGGGACGGGCCCGAAAGGCAACGGCGGCACCGCGUCCGGUCCUCGAGCGUAUGGGGCUUCGUCACCCGCUCUUGUAGGCCCGGCCGGCGCUUGCCGACACAUCAAUCUUUUUUCCAGGUUGACCUCGGAUCAGGUAGGGAUACCCGCUGAACUUAAGCAUAUCAAUAAGCGGAGGA
rnacentral:misc_RNA from 1 species